rnacentral:rRNA from 1 species
AUGGGCGGAAGCCUGAACCAGCCAAGUAGCGUGCAGGAGGACGGCCCUACGGGUUGUAAACUGCUUUUAUGCGGGGAUAAAGUGAGGGACGUGUCCCUUUUUGCAGGUACCGCAUGAAUAAGGACCGGCUAAUUCCGUGCCAGCAGCCGCGGUAAUACGGAAGGUCCGGGCGUUAUCCGGAUUUAUUGGGUUUAAAGGGAGCGUAGGCCGGGGAUUAAGUGUGUUGUGAAAUGUAGGCGCCCAACGUCUGACUUGCAGCGCAUACUGGUUCCCUUGAGUACGCGCAACGCCGGCGGAAUUCGUCGUGUAGCGGUGAAAUGCUUAGAUAUGACGAAGAACCCCGAUUGCGAAGGCAGCCGGCGGGAGCGCAACUGACGCUGAAGCUCGAAGGUGCGGGUAUCGAACAGGAUUAGAUACCCUGGUAGUCCGCACGGUAAACGAUGGAUGCCCGCUGUCGGCGCCUUGCGCCGGCGGCCAAGCGAAAGCGUUAAGCAUCCCACCUGGGGAGUACGCCGGCAACGGUGAAACUCAAAGGAAUUGACGGGGGCCCGCACAAGCGGAGGAACAUGUGGUUUAAUUCGAUGAUACGCGAGGAACCUUACC